rnacentral:snoRNA from 1 species
GGGCAAAUGAUGAUAUUUCAGAAUUUGUGCUAAUUUAAACCAUGAAGCUAUACAAUUCGAGCUUUUUAAAACUGAUGCCCU